AACAAAUGGAUCAAGUUAAUAUUUGCACAGUAGAAAAGAGGGUUAAGGAGUAGUUAAGGUGUUAAGAAAAUUUAUGUUUUUUCUAGGAGUAUAAUCCUUACAAAAAGAUUAAUUUAUGAUUUUCUUUUUCUUGAGGCCCUGAAAUCUUAAUUUGAGACCGGGAUUAGGUACCCCGUUAUUUAAGAUGUAAAAUAUGAUCACAUGAUUUACUUGGGUACUACGAGAGAUAAAAAUUUAGGUUUUUGUUGUAUUCUUAAAACCCAAAAGACUUGGCGGUGCCUCAAACCUUUCAGGGGAAUCUGUCCUGUAAUCGAUGAUCCACGUUUUACCUUACCUAUUUUUGAAUUUUUGUAAAUAAGCAGCCUGUAUACCGUCGCCAAUCAGGUUACCUCGGAGAGAAAGAAGUAACCAAGAAAAUAGUUAUUUUUAGAUUUAUAUAAUUCCAGCUAAUAAAUGUAUUGUUUAUAAAUGUAUUUUCUAUGAAUGUAUUCUUUAUAAUUUAUUCUUUAAUAUUAAUUGUUUUUAUGACAGAUCAAGGUGCAGCUAAUGAAUAGGCAGAGAUGGAUUACAAUAAUGAUUUAUUAAUACGGAUCUAAGUUUGAAAUAGGCUUAGUGAAGGUGGACUUGAAAGUAAUGAAGUAGAGUAGAGAGCUUUAGUGAAAUCGGCUCUGAGGUGUGU
rnacentral:rRNA from 1 species